rnacentral:rRNA from 1 species
AGCAGCCGCGGUAAUUCCAGCUCCAAUAGCGUAUAUUAAAGUUGUUGCAGUUAAAAAGCUCGUAGUUGAAUUUUGGAUUCUUCCAAUUGGUCCAUCUUUUAGAUGAGUACUGGUUGUGUGGGGUCUAUCCGCCUGGUGAUACGUAAUGUCCUUUAUUGGAUGUUGCGGGUAGUCAGGACCUUUACCUUGAAAAAAUUAGAGUGUUUAAAGCAGGCUUAUGCCGGAAUACAUUAGCAUGGAAUAAUAGAAUAGGACGAAGUUGUUUUAUUUUGUUGGUUUCUAGGACAACCGUAAUGAUUAAUAGGGAUAGUUGGGGGCAUUAGUAUUCAAUUGUCAGAGGUGAAAUUCUUGGAUUUAUUGAAGACUAACUACUGCGAAAGCAUUUGCCAAGGAUGUUUUCAUUAAUCAAGAACGAAAGUUAGGGGAUCGAAGACGAUCAGAUACCGUCGUAGUCUUAACCAUAAACUAUGCCGACUAGGGAUCGGGCGAUGUUAUUCCUAUGACUCGCUCGGCACCUAUG